rfam:Caenorhabditis briggsae complete genome, chrIV
CCAACGGCCCUCUUUAGGGCCACAAAUUUCCCCCAUAAUCCAAAUU